rnacentral:rRNA from 1 species
UACGUAGGGUGCAAGCGUUAAUCGGAAUUACUGGGCGUAAGCGUGCGCAGGCGGUUAUGCAAGACAGAUGUGAAAUCCCCGGGCUCAACCUGGGAAUGGCAUUUGGGACUGCAAGGCUCGAGUGCGGCAGAGGAGACUGGAAUUCCUGGUGUAGCAGUGAAAUGCGUAGAUAUCAGGAGGAACACCGAUGGCGAAGGCAGGUCGUCUGGGCUGACACUGACGCUCAUGCACGAAAGCGUGGGGAGCAAACAGG